rnacentral:lncRNA from 1 species
GAAACUUGAGGCUAGGCUGACCCCAUGGUUGUUAUGAUUAGAAAUCCGAGGCCACUGGAAACCCGGAGCUGCUGACCAACGAGUCACAGGGUAACUUCGCCUUCGCAUGGGGAAACGGGCUGGUGCAGUGGUGUCAUCUUGGCUCAGUGCAGCCUCGACUUCCUGGGAUCCAGCGAUCCUCCCGCUUCAGCCUCUAGAGUAGCCGAGACCACAGGAACAGAAACAACACACUCAGACUUGAGAAACUGGUCUGGUUUAAAAGGGUUCCUGGCCUUACAGGUGGGUAAGAAAUGUCACUUCCUGGCAGGCUGAGGAACAUCAGGAUAUUUGGAGGACCUUGACAAGGGAAGAAUUCACCGAAAUCUAUAGGUAUUCCAGGCAAAGUGUGAUAGCAAGAUCCUGGUAUGGUUUCCUAGCCUUGAGAGGCUUUUAAAAGUCUAAUUUGAGAUUCCUUAUUAAAAGAUCCAGAAAAGCCAACUUAAAGAGACCCUGUGUGGUAAAACACUAUUCCUGCUGCACUUGUGUAAAUAUUAGGCCAACUUUAAAGACACUAAAUUUAUUUUGCAAACAGAUUACUCUUACUAAUACUUUGAUGAUGUUUGAUAAAAAGGGAGUAAGUAUAGAGAAAAAACUUUCAGAGAAAAAAAUAUAGUGCACCUGUUAUUAGACUCUAGCUCAUUGUUUUUGAGGUUUUUUCGUCUACCUGAAAUCUAGACUGGAUCUUGAAUUUUUUGUUUCCUGUAAUAUCUGGCAAUGGGCUGGGUGUCAGAGCUCGCAACUGCAAUCCCAGCACUUUGGGAGGUCGAGGUGGGAGGAUUGCUGAAGCCCAAGACUUCGAGACCAGCCUGGGCAAAAGGCGAAACACCGUCUCUACAAAAAGUUCAAAAAUUUGCUGGGCAUGGAGGCAUGCGCCUGUGGUUGCAGCUGCUUGGAAGGUGGAGGUGGAAGGAUUGCUUGAGCCAAGGAGGUUGAGGCUGCAGUAAGCCUUGUUUGUGCCACUGCACUCCAGCCUCAAUUACAAAGCAAGGACCCCAUCUCAAAAAAAAAAAAAAAAAGGGCUGGACGCAUUGGCUCAUGCCUGUAAUCCCAGCACUUUGGCAGGUUGAGGCAGGUGGAUCACUUGAGGCUAGGAGUUCGAGGCCAGCCUGGCCAACAUGGUGAAAACCCAUCUCUACAAAAAAUACAAAAAUUAGCUGGGUGUGGUGGUGUGCACCUGUAAUUCUAGCUACUCGGGAGGCAGGGGCAGGAGAAUUGCUUGAACACAGAGGUGAAUGUUGCAGUGAGUGGAGAUGGUGACACUGUACUCCAGCCUGGGCGACAGA